UACGUAGGCGGGGCAAUAAGUCAGUGGUGAAAUCCUGCAGCUUAACUGUAGAACUGCCAUUGAUACUGUUGCCCUUGAGUAUAGUUGAAGUGGGCGGAAUAUGUAAUGUAGCGGUGAAAUGCAUAGAGAUUACAUAGAACACCAAUUGCGAAGGCAGCUCACUAAGCUAUCACUGACGCUGAGGCACGAAAGCGUGGGGAGCGAACAGGAUUAGAUACCCUGGUAGUCC
rnacentral:rRNA from 1 species